rnacentral:rRNA from 1 species
UGGGGAAUUUUGGACAAUGGGGGCAACCCUGAUCCAGCCAUUCCGCGUGAGUGAAGAAGGCCUUCGGGUUGUAAAGCUCUUUCAGCAGGAACGAAACGGUCGGCUUUAAUAAAGUCGGCUAAUGACGGUACCUGCAGAAGAAGCACCGGCUAACUACGUGCCAGCAGCCGCGGUAAUACGUAGGGUGCGAGCGUUAAUCGGAAUUACUGGGCGUAAAGCGUGCGCAGGCGGCGACAUAAGACAGAUGUGAAAUCCCCGGGCUCAACCUGGGAACUGCGUUUGUGACUGUGUUGCUAGAGUGUAGCAGAGGGGGGUGGAAUUCCACGUGUAGCAGUGAAAUGCGUAGAGAUGUGGAGGAACACCGAUGGCGAAGGCAGCCCCCUGGGUUAACACUGACGCUCAUGCACGAAAGCGUGGGGAGCAAACAGGAUUAGAUACCCCAGUAGUCCCUGAGCGGGCUGGCAAGGCGCAU